rnacentral:piRNA from 1 species
UGGGUCUCAAAGUAUGUUACAGGACUUUC